rnacentral:rRNA from 1 species
AGAACGAACGCUGGCGGCAUGCCUAACACAUGCAAGUCGAACGAGACCUUCGGGUCUAGUGGCGCACGGGUGCGUAACGCGUGGGAAUCUGCCCUUGGGUUCGGAAUAACAGCGAGAAAUUGCUGCUAAUACCGGAUGAUGACGUAAGUCCAAAGAUUUAUCGCCCAAGGAUGAGCCCGCGUAGGAUUAGCUUGUUGGUGAGGUAAGAGCUCACCAAGGCGACGAUCCUUAGCUGGUCUGAGAGGAUGAUCAGCCACACUGGGACUGAGACACGGCCCAGACUCCGUACGGGAGGCAGCGAGGUGGGGAAUAUUGGACAAGUGGGACGAAAGG